rnacentral:lncRNA from 1 species
AAAUGUACUUAGGUGGGAAAGACGGGAACUUGGGAAGUGGUGGACAUGGCUUCUUUGGGAUCACCACUACUGGUGGCUUGUAUAUCGGUUUGUAGAUGGGGACCGGUGGCUUGUAGAUAGGCACAGAGGGCUUGUGAAUUGGCGGUGGACAUGGCUUCUUUGGCUUGUAAAUAGGCACUGGUGGCUUGUAUAUGGGCUUAUGUGCGAUCUUUGGUGGAAAAGGCUUCUUGUGGAUCACCACUGGUGGCUUGUGUAUAGGCACCGGAGCCUUGUAGAUAGGCACUGGAGCCUUGUAGAUGGGCUUAUGUGAAAUCUUUGGUGGACACGGCUUCUU